rnacentral:rRNA from 1 species
GUGAGGAAUUUUCCGCAAUGGGCGAAAGCCUGACGGAGCAAUGCCGCGUGAAGGAUGAAGGCCUAUGGGUUGUAAACUUCUUUUCUCAGAAAAGAAUUAUGACGGUAUCUGAGGAAUAAGCAUCGGCUAACUCUGUGCCAGCAGCCGCGGUAAGACAGAGGAUGCAAGCGUUAUCCGGAAUGAUUGGGCGUAAAUCGUCUGUAGGUUGUUUAAAAAGUAUUCUGUCAAAGAUUAGGGCUUAACCCUAGAUAGGCAGAAUAAACUUUUAAGCUAGAGUUUGGUAGAGGCAGAGGGAAUUCCCGGUGGAGCGGUGAAAUGCGUAGAUAUCGGGAGGAACACCAAAGGCGAAGGCACUCUGCUGGGCCAAUACUAACACUGAGAGACGAAAGCGAGGGGAGCAAAUGGGAUUAGAAACCCUGGUAGUCC